GUCCCCUUCCCUCACCAUGUCUCCAAGGUAGAGCGGCUUUUAAUGGUCACGCUUUUGAUGCAUUUUAUUGGUUUUACAGCGCAGCUCGGUGCAACACCGCUGCAUGGGGUCUUGAGGAGACAGUUCGACUACAGAGAGGGAUGGCGAGAGAAAAAACACGCCAUUCAGACCAGCAUCCUCCCACACAACCUCAUACACAGACACGUCUCUUGUCUUUCCAGUGGCCGGGGGUUGGAAAAUGUGCUGUUAUUGGGGCCUGCCUGGAUGCCGUAGUAAUGGGAUGAGGCUAUCGAUUCAUCCCAUGUCGGGCCUGACUCUUUUUUUCAGCCUGGGAACGACAGCUGAUGUCACUGUGACAUUGAAAUGUCGGAGGCAUUAUCUCUAAUAACAAGAGGUGAGCAAAUGUUUACUUGCCACUUAGCCACUGAACACUUUCCUACUCCAUAUGUUAUUUUAAAGGGGGCCGUCAAAUAUAAAACCUCCCUUCCAGCUCACCAGCCUUUCCUUCGUCCAGCACGUGAAUUAAUCAAACAACCUGCUUUGGUCUUUUCAAGGAAAAUACAAUAGAUCUGUCCCGCCCUCCACCCUUUCAUAACCCUGUGUAGUGUAAUGAAAUGUUUAUUGGAAGGUCUGUAAGAGUACCUUUCAGGCCACACCCAUGGUUUUUGAGAGAUUCCCAGAAUGAGUUAUGGGUCUAUAAGGGGGAACUGGAGGCUAAAUUGAAAGAGGAUUUGCUAGUCACAGUUGUACAGGGGAUUGUUCUCCAUGAUGGAAAAUACAGUAUGUGGUCCCAGGUUCUUUACGGAAGCCCAUCAAAAUGUAUCAAGAAUAUGCUCAUGUGUCCUUGUGAAGCAGUUCUAUUGCUGGCCAAGCCUGGCCACUGAUAUUGAACAAUGGUGCAGACAUGCUUGGUGUGUUGUGUUUAACCAGGGGAGAUGCGAACUGACAAGGCACAGCAGAACAGAACCUCUGAGGGGUCCCUGGGAGCCAUUCCAAAUUGACUGCAUAGUGUAGGGCCACGUCAACCUGCAAAGGGCUGGUAUACUAUAGGUACUGUUUGACCCACACCACAGCACGUGUUCUAGCCAACCCAAUCAUCCCCCUCUGGGGAGUGCCAAAUCACUGUGAGUCAGACUGUGAGGACCACUUCACCGGGAAAGUCACAAAGGAUAAGUGAAACAUUUUCAACAAUAAAGAGGGUUCACGUGACAUACGAACCAGAGUCGGACGCUUUUGUGGAAAGAUAAAACCUCUUUCUGAAAGAAUGGAUUGCCAGACAAAUUUUGCAACCCAAAGGUGUCAGGACAGACUCCAGGUGCUGUAUGCACAGGCUACGCUGAGACAGUUUCAGUCAGACCGAUCAAACGAUGUUCUGUUCAACCCAGAGGUUGAAGCCAGAUUCACAGAAGGAGACAUGAUCAUGGUGAGAGUUUAAAAGGAAACGCAUUUGCUCCAAGAUGGCAUGGUACCUACGAUGUCAAGGCCGUUUACAACAGCUGCCUGGCCAUUGUGGUCAGAAUGAAACUGAAAUGGUUUCACAUGACCCGAGCCUGUUAACGAGCCUGAGUUCAAACAGUAUGAUGAAACGUUUUAAGUGACAGGACCCUCUUGCAUGAAAACGGGACAGCGUGUGGAGCUCCAUGCUCUAGGCUGCUGGAGAUGGGUAUGGAGAUACCAUGGGCCAUACACAGAAGCACCUAUUUCCAUUUAUCCAAAACAGAUAGAUAUCAGGUUAUAUCAGGACCAGAUUGUGUAACACAAAUGUCUUGUGACUUCCACUCAUCUCGCAAUCCGCAUAGACAGGGGAUUUGUACCCAUACGUGUAAAGAGAUCAACAGCAAUCCUGACAUUUGUUACCAACACAAUUGAACAGUCUUUUUCCAGUUAGCCUACUCUUUUACCCAGACACACCUGUAGGCCUGCUGAACACACUCUAUUCCAUUAAUAAUGUUACAACCUGUAGGCCCAGGCACACCUGUAGGCCUGCUGAACACACACUAUUCCAUUAAUAAUGUUACAACCUGUAGGCCCAGGCACACCUGUAGGCCUGCUGAACACACUCUAUUCCAUUAAUAAUGUUACAACCUGUAGGCCUGCUGAACACACUCUAUUCCAUUAAUAAUGUUACAACCUGUAGGCCCAGGCACACAUGUAGGCCUGCUGAACACACUCUAUUCCAUUAAUAAUGUUACAACCUGUAGGCCUGCU
ensembl:lncRNA